AGAGGGACAAGCAUAAUUAUAGGAAACUCAAGUCUAUCUUACAGAAAUUAGAUAUGCUAAUUUGACUGUUGAUUGGGUGACUUCUUAUUAUAGGAAGGAGACGUGUAUUUCUGACUGAUUGCGCUAGUCACCAUCUUCUUUGAUCCAUAUUCUGGACUGGUUAAAUUUUUUGGUUGCUAUGUAUGGUAAGAAAGUCUUUUACCUUAAAUGAAUUGUUGAUAAAAAAAUUAUAUAAUUAAUUAAAUCAUGAAUUCUAGCGAGAAUAAAUCAAUGCAAAUAGAAAUAAGUAGGAUUAAGACCUGGAGGUAUUUGAAUCAGUAACUUUAGAAUAUGUUUCAUUAUUUGAACCAAGAUUUGUGCAAAGUGGGUUUUUGUAAAGUGGCUAAAAUUAUGAACCCUCAAAAAAGGGUUCUAGAAGUUGAGAUUGAUUGUCAUCAAAAUCAAAAUCAUUUUGCUUUAUUUGUCACAUUCAGGGUUCAUGAUUUCCGCUGUGAAUUAUUAUAUUUAGACCCAAGACAAAAAGGAAUCAUAACUCCGAU
rnacentral:lncRNA from 1 species